rnacentral:rRNA from 1 species
AGCAGUCGCCGCGGUAACACGUAGGGUGCGAGCGUUAAUCGGAAUUACUGGGCGUAAAGCGUGCGCAGGCGGUUCGGAAAGAAAGAUGUGAAAUCCCAGGGCUUAACCUUGGAACUGCAUUUUUAACUACCGGACUAGAGUGUGUCAGAGGGAGGUGGAAUUCCGCGUGUAGCAGUGAAAUGCGUAGAGAUGCGGAGGAACACCGAUGGCGAAGGCAGCCUCCUGGGAUAACACUGACGCUCAUGCACGAAAGCGUGGGGAGCAAACAGGAUUAGAUACCCCCGUAGUCCCUGUCUCUUAUAC